UAAAGGAAUGAAGCUUGCCCCUUCAAAUACACAACAGCCCCCCUAGAUACACUGGGUCUACCCAGUUACUGUCAAGUAUCAAACCUUCUGUCUGGUAUCAAACCCGCAAGCAGGAUCACAGAGAAUCUAACCAAAAACAAAAUAAAACUAGACUAUCAGGCAUAUGGCAUAAUGUGGAUUCUGGCCAGGCUAUGGUACUGACCUCACAUUAAGUACUGACCUUACUGAGA